rnacentral:rRNA from 1 species
CCUACGGGUGGCUGCAGUAGGGAAUAUUGCUUAAUGGGCGAAAGCCUGAAGCAGCAACGCCGCGUGUGCGAUGAAGGCCUUCGGGUUGUAAAGCACUUUUUGUCGGGAAGAGGAAGGACGGUACCGGCAGAAUAAGCCUCGGCUAACUACGUGCCAGCAGCCGCGGUAAAACGUAGGAGGCGAGCGUUAUCCGGAUUUACUGGGUGUAAAGCGCGUGCAGGCGGUUUGUUAAGUUGGGUGUGAAAGCUCCUGGCUCAACUGGGAGAGGUCGCCCA